rnacentral:piRNA from 1 species
GGGUGUGUUCCUGCUGCAGUUAACUA